rnacentral:rRNA from 1 species
GGGAAGGCUUACAAUGCAGUCGAGCGGUAACAUUGGUAGCUUGCUACCAGAUGACGAGCGGCGGACGGGUGAGUAAUGCUUAGGAAUCUACCUAGUAGUGGGGGAUAGCUCGGGGAAACUCGAAUUAAUACCGCAUACGUCCUACGGGAGAAAGCAGGGGAUCAUUAGACCUUGCGCUAUUAGAUGAGCCUAAGUCGGAUUAGCUAGUUGGUGGGGUAAAGGCCUACCAAGGCGACGAUCUGUAGCUGGUCUGAGAGGAUGAUCAGCCACACCGGGACUGAGACACGGCCCGGACUCCUACGGGAGGCAGCAGUGGGGAAUAUUGGACAAUGGGGGGAACCCUGAUCCAGCCAUGCCGCGUGUGUGAAGAAGGCCUUUUGGUUGUAAAGCACUUUAAGCAGUGAAGAAGAAGUUAUGGUUAAUACCCAUAAUGGAUGACAUUAGCUGCAGAAUAAGCACCGGCUAACUCUGUGCCAGCAGCCGCGGUAAUACAGAGGGUGCGAGCGUUAAUCGGAAUUACUGGGCGUAAAGCGAGCGUAGGUGGCUUAAUAAGUCAGAUGUGAAAUCCCCGGGCUUAACCUGGGAACUGCAUCUGAAACUGUUCGGCUAGAGUAGGUGAGAGGGAAGUAGAAUUCCAGGUGUAGCGGUGAAAUGCGUAGAGAUCUGGAGGAAUACCGAUGGCGAAGGCAGCUUCCUGGCAUCAUACUGACACUGAGGUUCGAAAGCGUGGGUAGCAAACAGGAUUAGAUACCCUGGUAGUCCACGCCGUAAACGAUGUCUACUAGUCGUUGGGUCCCUUGAGGACUUAGUGACGCAGCUAACGCAAUAAGUAGACCGCCUGGGGAGUACGGCCGCAAGGUUAAAACUCAAAUGAAUUGACGGGGGCCCGCACAAGCGGU